UACAGAGGUCCCAAGCGUUGUUCGGAUUCACUGGGCGUAAAGGGUGCGUAGGCGGUCGGGUAAGUCUGAUGUGAAAUCUCACAGCUUAACUGUGAAACUGCAUUGGAUACUAUCCGGCUAGAGGAAUGGAGGGGAGACUGGAAUACUUGGUGUAGCAGUGAAAUGCGCAGAUAUCAUUUGGAACGCCAAUGGUGAAAACAGGUCGCUGGGAGUGUGCUGACGCUGAGACACGAAAGCCAGGGGAGCAAACGGG
rnacentral:rRNA from 1 species